AUUGCUUCUCGGCCUUUUGGCUAAGAUCAAGUGUACCAUUAACUCUAAUAUAUCUAUUCUGGUCAUAUUCCUAUGUCAGAUACACAAGAUCAGAUAAAUUUUUAAUUUAAAUUUUGGGUGGGUGUCAGCAUUCUGGCUCAGUAGGUUAUACCACUGCCUGUGAUACCAGCACCCCAU
ensembl:snRNA U2 U2 spliceosomal RNA